rnacentral:rRNA from 1 species
UACAGAGGCCCCAAGCGUUACUGAGAAUCACUGGGUUUAAAGGGUGCGUAGGUGGCGCGUUAAGUCCGUUGUGAAAUCCCUGGGCUCAACCCAGGAAAUGCUUCGGAUACUGGCGUGCUUGAGGCUAGUAGGGGUCACUGGAACUGACGGUGGAGCGGUGAAAUGCGUAGAUAUCGUCAGGAACGCCAAUGGUGAAGACAGGUGACUGGGCUAGAUCUGACACUGAGGCACGAAGGCCAGGGGAGCAAACGGG